rnacentral:tRNA from 1 species
AGAGAUGUAACUCAGUGGUAGAGCACUUGCCUAGUAUGCACGAGGCCCUGGGGUUCAAUCCCCAGCACCACUU